rnacentral:lncRNA from 1 species
UAACAAUGUUGAUCAUUGAAUUCGUUAUGUAUGUUGCAAUUGCUAAAGCCUAUCACAACAAUAAUGCAUCAACAAUAAUGCAGCAGCAACAGUGUAUUCAAGAUUGUUACCAACAUGCGACGACGGACCCAAUAGAUUUGAUGUAUUGCAUUCGGAGAUGUAAAAGUCUGCACCCACAUCACUAGUGCUUGGGCAGUUAUAAUGAAUGCUUUUGAGAUUCACAGAAUCUUUUUGGCUUAUAUUAUCUCGUUAUAGUCGGUGUGACAAACUCUUCUCUAUUUUAUGAUUAUCAAGAGACUAAUAAAAAUUAAAAAAGUAUAGUAUCAUUUUUUUUCUAGACUUUCACAACUCACAGAACCAGUGGUGGAGUUUAAUUGAGACAAGAGGGCAUGGCCCCAAAAUUUUGUUAAAAAAAUUAGUAAUACUUCUUCAAAAAAUAAAAAAUAGUUUAGUUGGCUCAAAUACUUUAUUAUGACUUAAAAUAUCAAAGUUCAAUUUUCAUCUCUAUUCAAUAAGUAAUACUCCCUCUACCUUUGAGUUCAAAUAUAAAAAAAUAGGUAUUUUUUAUUUAUGUAAUUUGAUAUUAUUUUAUAUUUUAC